rnacentral:rRNA from 1 species
AAAGCACUUUCAGUCGUGAGGAAGGUAGUGUAGUUAAUAGCUGCAUUAUUUGACGUUAGCGACAGAAGAAAGCACCGGCUAACUCCGUGCCAGCAGCCGCGGUAAUACGGAGGGUGCGAGCGUUAAUCGGAAUUACUGGGCGUAAAGCGCAUGCAGGUGGUUUGUUAAGUCAGAUGUGAAAGACCCGGGGCGUCAACCUCGGAAUUGCAUUUGUAAACUGGCAGACUAGAGUACUGUAGAGGGGGGUAGGAAUUUCUAGGUGUAGCGGUGAAAUGCGUAGAGAUCUGAAGGAAUACCGGUGGCGAAGGCGGCCCCCUCGGACAGAUACUGACACUCAGAUGCGAAAGCGUGGGGAGCAAACAGGAUUAGAUACCCUGGUAG